rnacentral:misc_RNA from 1 species
AACCUAGCACACCUGCGGUGUGUACCUGCGGAAGGAUCAUUAACGAGUUAGGGUCCUCUAGGCCCGACCUCCCAACCCUUUGCUUACCGAACCUCUGUUGCUUCGGCGGGCCCGUCUCACGACCGCCGGAGGACCGCCGCAGGGCGUGUCCUCUAGCCCGUGUCCGCCGAUAGCCAACUACAAAACUCUGUAUAAAUCAUGUCUCAUGUCUAAGUCAAAUUGAAUUAAAAGCAAAACUUU